rnacentral:rRNA from 1 species
UAGGGAAUAUUGCACAAUGGGCGAAAGCCUGAUGCAGCAACGCCGCGUGCGCGAUGAAGGCCUUCGGGUCGUAAAGCGCUUUUCGGGGAGAUGAGGAAGGACAGUAUCCCCGGAAUAAGUCUCGGCUAACUACGUGCCAGCAGCCGCGGUAACACGUAGGAGGCAAGCGUUAUCCGAAUUUACUGGGCGUAAAGCGCGUGCAGGCGGUUCGGUAAGUUGGAUGUGAAAUCUCCCGGCUCAACCGGGAGAGGUCGUUCAAUACUGUCGGACUAGAGGAUGGUAGAGGGAGGUGGAAUUCCCGGUGUAGUGGUGAAAUGCGUAGAUAUCGGGAGGAACACCAGUGGCGAAGGCGGCCUCCUGGACCAUUCCUGACGCUCAGACGCGAAAGCUAGGGGAGCGAACG